AGGCUUAACACAUGCAAGUCGAGGGGCAUCAUGAUCAAAGCUUGCUUUGAUUGAUGGCGACCGGCGCACGGGUGAGUAACGCGUAUCCAACCUACCCCUAACUCUGGAAUAGCCCGCUGAAAGGCGGAUUAAUGCCGGAUGUGGUCCAUCGAGGGCAUCUGACUUGGACUAAAGGCUUACGGUUAGGGAUGGGGAUGCGUCCGAUUAGCUUGUCGGCGGGGUAACGGCCCACCGAGGCUACGAUCGGUAGGGGUUCUGAGAGGAAGGUCCCCCACACUGGUACUGAGACACGGACCAGACUCCUACGGGAGGCAGCAGUGAGGAAUAUUGGUCAAUGGGCGAGAGCCUGAACCAGCCAAGUAGCGUGCAGGAGGACGGCCCUACGGGUUGUAAACUGCUUUUAUGCGGGGAUAAAGGGUGCCACGCGUGGCGCUUUGCAGGUACCGCAUGAAUAAGGACCGGCUAAUUCCGUGCCAGCAGCCGCGGUAAUACGGAAGGUCCGGGCGUUAUCCGGAUUUAUUGGGUUUAAAGGGAGCGCAGACGGGCUGUUAAGCGUGCCGUGAAAUACUGGGGCUCAACCUUGGUAUGCGGCGCGAACUGGCGGCCUUGAGUGGGCGGUAGGUACGCGGAAUUCGUGGUGUA
rnacentral:rRNA from 1 species